CAGUCGCCGCGGUAAUACGAAGGGGGCUAGCGUUGUUCGGAUUUACUGGGCGCAAAGGGCGCGUAGGCGGGCUGAUAAGUCAGGGGUGAAAUCCCAAGGCUCAACCUUGGAACUGCCUUUGAUACUGUUUGUCUUGAGUUCGAGAGAGGUAAGUGGAACUGCGAGUGUAGAGGUGAAAUUCGUAGAUAUUGGGAAGAACACCGGUGGCGAAGGCGGCGACCUGGUCUUUUACUGACGCUGAGGCGCGAAAGCGUGGGGAGCAAACAGGAUUAGAGACCCCCGUAGUCCCUGUCUCUUAUAA
rnacentral:rRNA from 1 species